rnacentral:rRNA from 1 species
CAGCCGCCACGGUAAUACGAGGGGGGCUAGCGUUGCUCGGAAUGACUGGGCGUAAAGGGCGCGUAGGCGGCGGCCAAAGUCAGGCGUGAAAUUCCCGGGCUCAACCUGGGGGCUGCGUUUGAUACUUGGUUGCUUGAGUGGGGAAGAGGGUCGUGGAAUUCCCAGUGUAGAGGUGAAAUUCGUAGAUAUUGGAAAGAACACCGGUGGCGAAGGCGGCGACCUGGCCUUUAACUGACGCUGAGGCGCGAAAGCGUGGGGAGCAAACAGGAUUAGAGACCCCCGUAGUCCCUGUCUCUUAUAC